UCUGCUAUAGGAUAGGAUCGUGUUCGAUUAUGGUUGUUGGUGAGGUAAUGGCUCACCAAGCCGAUAAUCGAUAGGGGCCGUGAGAGCGGGAGCCCCGAGAUGGGUACUGAGACAACGACCCAGGCCUUACGAGGCGCAGCAGGCGCGAAACCUCCGCAAUACACGAAAGUGUGACGGGGUUACCCAAAGUGUUCAAUUUUGAACUGUGGUAGGUGAGUAAUGUUCCCUACUAGAAAGGAGAGGGCAAGGCUGGUGCCAGCCGCCGCGGUAAAACCAGCUCUUCAAGUGGUCGGGAUAAUUAUUGGGCUUAAAGUGUCCGUAGCCGGUUUAGUAAGUUCCUGGUAAAAUCGGGUAGCUUAACUAUCUAUAUGCUAGGAAUACUGCUAUACUAGAGGGCGGGAGAGGUCUGAGGUACUACAGGGGUAGGGGUGAAAUCUUAUAAUCCUUGUAGGACCACCAGUGGCGAAGGCGUCAGACUGGAACGCGCCUGACGGUGAGGGACGAAAGCCAGGGGAGCGAACCGGAUUAGAUACCCGGGUAGUCCUGGCCGUAAACGAUGCAUACUAGGUGAUGGUACGGCCAUGAGCCGUGUCAGUGCCGUAGGGAAACCGUUAAGUGUGCCGCCUGGGAAGUACGGUCGCAAGGCUAAAACUUAAAGGAAUUGGCGGGGGAGCACCACAAGGGGUGAAGCCUGCGGUUCAAUUGGACCCAACGCCGGAAAACUUACCAGGGGAGACAGCAGUAUGACGGUCAGGUUGACGACCUUACCUAACGAGCUGAGAGGAGGUGCAUGGCCGUCGCCAGUUCGUGCCGUGAGGUAUCCUGUUAAGUCAGGCAACGAACGAGAUCCGCACCUUUAUUUGCCACCAAGAAGUCACGACUUCGUUGGGAACACUAAAGGGACCGCCGUCGAUAAGACGGAGGAAGGAGCGGGCAAAGGCAGGUCAGUAUGCCCCGAAACCCCUGGGCUACACGCGGGCUGCAAUGGUAUGAACAAUGGGCUGUGACUCCGAAAGGAGAAACCAAUCCCGAAAUCAUAUCUCAGUUGGAAUUGUCGGCUGUAACCCGCCGACAUGAACGCGGAAUCCCUAGUAAUCGUGUGUCAUCAUCGCACGGUGAAUACGUCUCUGCUCCUUGCACACACCGCCCGUCGCUCCAUCCGAGUGUGCUAAAAAUGAGGUUUGGUCAAUUUGGUCAUAUCGAGUUUCUAGUAUGCGAGGAGGGAGAAGUC
rnacentral:rRNA from 1 species